rnacentral:lncRNA from 1 species
ACCUGGACGUCUGUUACCCUCGUCUUCCCCGCUGAGAACACACUGACUUCUUUAGCACUGUCCUGAGUCACGGAGCUAAGGCAGUGCCCUCAUGGAGGCCGUUGAUGAUGGCAGGAUGCGCCAAGUGAAGGAGCAAUUUCAGGACGGCAGGGCCACAGCUGACCUCAUGGCACUCAGGACAGACACAGCAAACAGCACAGAGCUCCUGCUUGGACCGUGCAGAAAUGAGUGAAAUGAAAAAGCCUCAUGCUGGAAGAUUUGAGCUUCCUUCCCUCGGUAGAAGAAACACACACUUCCCAUUUCCAUCACCAACCAGAGAGGAGAUUUUGCCCUUUGUUUGCAUCUGGUUUGUACAAGAACCCCAGGGUAAAGUGUGAUCCAAUAGCUUCACCUCUGUAAUGCCAAGCAGCCGAGGCAUGUGUGGCUCACAGAGCUCCUGCCACCUGGCCCCUCAGCAAUGGAGCAGCUUGGUGCCACCGCCCCUCUCUGCAGCCCUUCAACAAAGGGGUGUGCACACAGCUCUUUCAGACACAGUCUGGCCUCCUCCUGACACUGACCCUCAGGGACACAGGGACACAGACCUCUCAGAAGCCAUGCUGUGUGGAGCCCGACUUCUCCCAAGUGGCAAUGGCCAGAGGAAACUCUCCUCUCCCACCCGCUCACCUUUAAAGAGGAGGCCCAGGACCGAGUUGUAACUGAGCACUGGAUCCUAACAUGUAACUGUAACAUACAACUGUACCUGGACCCUAACAUGAAUACACAGCACUUGUUUAGACGGCUGUGUGAUGAAGAAUUAACUAUAAGGAGGAUGGUGAUUUGGAAUUCUGUAUUUGAGUUCAGCUUGAAUUCAAACAAGUCACAUGGAAGUCAUAGAUACUCUUUGG